UACGUAGGGUCCGAGCGUUGUCCGGAAUUAUUGGGCGUAAAGAGCUCGUAGGCGGUUUGUCGCGUCUGCUGUGAAAUCCCGAGGCUCAACCUCGGGCCUGCAGUGGGUACGGGCAGACUGGAGUGCGGUAGGGGAGAAUGGAAUUCCUGGUGUAGCGGUGGAAUGCGCAGAUAUCAGGAGGAACACCGAUGGCGAAGGCGACAUCCUGGACCGGUAUUGACGCUGAGGCGCGAAAGCCAGGGGAGCAAACGGG
rnacentral:rRNA from 1 species